rnacentral:rRNA from 1 species
AUGGAACAGCUGACCGGUGAGCAGGAGGACCUGUGCCUGGAGCUCACCCUCCGCCCCAUGGCGUCCGAGCCCCGCCCCGGCUUCUUCCUCUGCGUGUACUGCAACCGCAAGUUCGUCACCUCGCAGGCGCUCGGCGGCCACCAAAACGCACAUAAGCACGAGCGCAACGUCGCCAAGCGCCGCCGGCAAGCCGCUGCCGCUCGGCAGGGUGCGCCUGCUGCAGCGCCAGACGAGAGGCUGCCCUGGCACGGCGGCGGUUUCAUGUCUGCGGCCGGGACGGCUGCUCCUGCUGUCAAGGCGCACAAGCACGGCAGGAGCAGGCCGGAGCACGGUGGCGCCAUGGUCGACGUCGACUUGUCUCUUCGUCUAUGA